UUUAUAUAUAUAUACACACACACAACAAUUUCUGGAGAGUAUUAGGAAGUGGGUCAAAUUAUAUAAACUAGCACAUUUAAAGCAGCACCAACAGGCUUAUCAUGUGCCUAGAUAAUAAAAAUAAACUUUCCUUACUUCUCACCUAAACAUUAAUUUCUGCAAAUCUAGAUGAACUGGCAAAUGACUUUUGUAAAGUUAUUUCGCUUUUAUGAAGAUGAAGAAUACUAUUUCUCCCACAACUGACUGAAGCCGGUAUAUGGUCUAUAUGCUUAUUAGUAAUGGUAAAAUAAUUUAGUGGAUGGAGGUCAGCAUUAAAAAUAAAAGAUUUCUGCUCUGUGCGAUGGCACACGUCUGUAGUCUCUACUACUAGCAAGGCUGAGACCACAGGAUCCCUUGAGCCCAAGUUCGAGGCCAGCCUGGGUAACAAAGCGAGCCCUCCGAUCUUAUUUUAAAAAGAUGUGUAAAGAUGCUAUCAGAGUGCGUUUCAUUUGCUGUUAUACGCAUUAUGUAUGCGGUGUAGGCGUGUGCAUAGAGACCUUACAGUAAAACGUUAUUUCUUACUUUACAUCUGUGUCAAACGUGCCUGCAAGCAUCUCAGACCCCGCUCCCCACAGCCUGCAACCUGCAGCCCAGGAGGUGAGCGGUGGGCGGUGGCGGGCCCCGGCGGCGUCCCCCCCAACCCCGCCUCGGUACUUACGAAGGAGUCGCUCACUACCAACACCACGUUAGGCGUCCCGGCUACUCCCCUCCUGUGAUCCGCCGGGGGGGCCGGCGCCGCCAACGCGGAGGCUGAGACCACUGUCAUCCACAGCAACAGCAUCGCACGUAGCGGUUCCAAUAGCCGGCCGCUGGGCCCGCCUUCUGGGGAACUCUUUCCAGCGGGGGCUGGGGCUGGGACAGCGAACUUCCAGUUGGGUUUCCAUAUACUGCAAUUCAGCGCUUCAUCCACGGAACUACAACUCCCAUCAAGCCCAGGGGCGGCGCAUGCGCAAAGGACUUCAACGCGUAAGACCUUUCAAACACCGACCGAAGCAAAUCCCAGCCACUUCCAGUCACGUGAGCGACGCCCGGGAAGUGAGCUUGCGCUCCCCAGAUUUGGUGUCUGUGGGGAAGUUUCGUCUGUCCCAGAUGGAAAACGAGUAGGGAACAAUCUGAAAUUCAGUUCAGGAAGAAGACAGAAGUAGUGGUAAUAGGUAAAAGUCUACAGGUUAGUUUGCCAAAGGAAUUUGGUUUCAGAAAAUUUAAUGUGAAAUCAGCAUUGAAAUUUGUUAUCUGCUGCUGUCAAGAUUUAUAGACUACAGAAGAUUCUUCUCAUGUUUUCACUUAUAAAUUAAUACCAAGAUAAUUUCAAAAUGUCUAACAAAGAAGUGAAGACUGCUUUAAAAAGUGCAAGAGAUGCAAUCAGAAACAAAGAAUACAAAGAAGCUUUGAAACAUUGUAAGAUAGGAGAGAAUCAGGAUUCUAAAGCUGAGGGGAAUGUUCCUAACAGAGGGAAAAAUUGAAUGCAGGUGAGAGAUAGGGUAGUGGUAGAAGUGAAGGCUUUGGAAAAGUGAAAGAGGAUGGCAUCCAGAGCUGGAGAGGAGGGCCUUAACCCUUUUUCCAUCUUAACAGUAGAAAAAAAUAAGUGCAGAUUCAUAGUGUUUG